GGGGGAGGGGGCAAUGGUUUUCAGUAUUUUUCACAAUGGUGGCAUGGUUGGAGAACCCCUGCAUUGAACUCAUCCGCACAGGAACGGGGACAGCAGCACUGCAUCUUUUCGGGCAAAUGGACUGUCCACACGGAGAUGAUGGGCAUGCUGGGAGCCUGGAAUCUGUCUGAAACUGCCCGUGGUAGAUUUACAACCGUGCUCUCUUUCAUAGUUACUUGAAAUUUUCCAAUAUAAUUUCCAGCGUAAUUUUGGGACGGCACAGACAGCAGCAACUCAUACACGGGCUGAUACACAGAAGUCACUUGAUACAGUUUUUACGGGGAAAGAUGUUUACGUCAAUAUCGUUGGUGUGAAGUCCAUUACUUCUUGUACAGAACGUGCGAGUGAGGAUAAUCGUCAGUUCGUCAAAGGUCGUCUAAGCAGAGGGAUCUGAAGAAAGUUCGUUCCUGAAUCCUUGAACCUGAGCGUUUUGUACCUCUAGAAAUUAUAAUAGUUGGUGAUGUAUAUUACAGCAGUGUGACUGACAUCUCGGAUCUGUAGAACGAAUUUUGAUGUGUGCUAUUGCUGCCUCAUCACGAUCAUUUGAAUACUAGCAUUCAGUUGUUUAA